rnacentral:rRNA from 1 species
CUUCUUCCGCCCAAUUGAUAAGUUCUUGGGUUCCAAUUGGGAAGUAAAAGUCGUAACAAGGUCUCCGUUGGUGAACCAGCGGAGGGAUCAUU